rnacentral:rRNA from 1 species
GACGAACGCUGGCGGCGUGCUUAACACAUGCAAGUCGAACGGAAAGGCCCUGCUUUUGUGGGGUGCUCGAGUGGCGAACGGGUGAGUAACACGUGAGUAACCUGCCCUUGACUUUGGGAUGACUUCAGGAAACUGGGGCUAAUACCGGAUAGGAGCUCCUGCUGCAUGGUGGGGGUUGGAAAGUUUCGGCGGUUGGGGAUGGACUCGCGGCUUAUCAGCUUGUUGGUGGGGUAGUGGCUUACCAAGGCUUUGACGGGUAGCCGGCCUGAGAGGGUGACCGGCCACAUUGGGACUGAGAUACGGCCCAGACUCCUACGGGAGGCAGCAGUGGGGAAUAUUGCACAAUGGGCGGAAGCCUGAUGCGGCAACGCCGCGUGCGGGAUGACGGCCUUCGGGUUGUAAACCGCUUUCGCCUGUGACGAAGCGUGAGUGACGGUAAUGGGUAAAGAAGCACCGGCUAACUACGUG